CCUACGUGUGGCAGCAGUGGGGAAUAUUGGGCAAUGGAGGAAACUCUGACCCAGCACUGCCGCGGGAAUGAAGAAGGUCUUCGGAUUGUAAAGUUCUUUAGUCAGGGAAGAAGUCAAUGACGGUACCUGAAGAAUAAGCUUCGGCUAACUACGUGCCAGCAGCCGCGGCAAUACGUAGGGAGCAAGCGUUGUUCGGAAUGACUGGGCGUAAAGGGUGCGUAGGCGGUUGUCCAAGUUAGAAGUGAAAUACACAGGGCUUAACUCGGGUGCUGCUUCUAAAACUGGAUGACUUGAGUGCAGUAGAGGUUAGUGGAAUUCCUGGUGUAGCGGUGGAAUGCGUAGAUAUUAGGAAGAACACCGGAGGCGAAGGCAGCUAACUGGGCUGCAACUGACGCUGAGGCACGAAAGUGUGGGGAGCAAACAGGAUUAGAUACCCUAGUAGUC
rnacentral:rRNA from 1 species